GUUUCAAGGGAAAUUAUCAUUCAUAUACCCUAUAUUUAUUCUGUUAUAAAAAAUACUACAAUACUUUGAGGGUGUAUCAAUCGUCCACCCUUAGUUAACAAAAUGUAUCAGUUGACCACCAAACUGUUAGUUGUCGUUUGAAAGUUAACGGAGUUACACUGAAUUGACGAUUUUACCCUUAAAAAUUAUCACUUGUAUACCCUUAAAUUCUCUUUUUAUCACUUAUAUACAUUUAAAUUAUCACUUGUAUCAUAUGAAAAGACCAAAUUACCCUUCUGACGUCAUCAUACGUAAACGGCAACUAACGGUUUGGUGGUCAGCUGAUAUAUUUUGUCAACUUAGGGUGGACGAUUGAUACACCCUCAAAGUGUUGUAGUAUUUUUGAUAAUGGAGUAAACUAAGGGUAUACAAAUGAUAAUUUCCCUUGUUUCAAUAAAAUUGAUAAUAAUGAUAAUUUUUUAAAGUUAAUUAUUUAUUUUCUAAUUAGUUUUAGAUUUUUAUAAUGUAUAUGAGAUAUAAAUGGAAUUGUAUAAAGGGAAAUUAUCUGUCAUAUACCCUUAAAUGACACUAGUAUCAAAUGUGCUACAACACUUUUCGCUUAUAUCACUCGUAUAACCUAAGUUGACAAAAGAGUUAUGGCAUCCACCUUUUCGUUUACUACCGUUAAGAACUUAACAGAAUUUGAGCAAAAUAACUAUUUUACCCUUUAAACUCAAAAUGAAGUAAAAAUACAAAUUUUCCUUGAAAAUUAAUAUAAAUUUUCAAUACACAAUUUUUUAAUUUUGUUAUUAACAAUACAUUUUUUUAUUAAAAAAAUGAAUUAUUAAUGGUACAUAUUAUUAACAAUUAUCCAUAAAAAAUAUUCAUCUUAUACCAUAAAAAAUUAUUAACAACAUAUUAUUUACAAUUAUACAUAUUAUACCAUAAAAAAUUCAAGUUAGAGCUUGGAGGAGUAGAUCUUCAAUAAUUUAGAUUAAAUUUUGGAGGAAUAGAUUUGGUUGUAAAGUAGCCUUUUUUUUAGCAAUUAUUAACAAUUAUCCGAUAAAUGGGAUGACAUGUCAUUUUUAUCAAAAUAUAUCAUAUGAAAUGUCGUUUUUUACUAGGUAAAUGGGAUGACAUGUCUUUUUUUUUAAAAGAAUAGAUUACCCUUACGAUAUCAGUGCUCGCAAACGACAGUUAACGGAUUGGUGGACGGCAGAAGUGUUUUGUCAACUUAGGGUAUACGAGUGAUACACUUAAAAAGUAUUGUAGCACGUUUGAUAUUAGUGUCAUUUAAGGGUAUAUAACUGAUAAUUUCCCUUGUAUAAAAUAUAAAUCAACACAAGAUAAACACUGCAGUUCAACUGUCGGUGAGAUAAACACAGCGAGAGGAGAGCGAGGCAAUAAUGCUAUGAUUAAAUGAUAGAUCACAUGGGGAUGAAUAAGCACUUACGGAAAACAUAAGAAAAGGCAAAGGCAAAAGAUAAUUAAAAUGAAAAAAAUAAUAAUAAUCUGUGAUUUAAACAUAACUCAUGACUCGUUCAAGAGUGCUUGCGGAAAGCCAGAACAAAGGUCCAAAACAGAACACGGUUCCUUUUUGUAGUCAAUGUUUAUUAUUUCUGUUCAGAUCGUCAAAACUUUGGAAACAAGCACAUGAUAAGAGUAAAUGGCCUCAAUCAUCGAAAUAGUUACUAUUAAUCAAGAAGCUUCUGAGUACUUGAAAUUUUAUAUAUAAAAUUAUCAACUCACAUGGCAGAUUAUUAUUUUACUUCUCUAUUGUAUAUAUAACCCUUGGACAAUGUUGAAAUUUUCAAAGAUUUGCAGCAAUAUUUUCUUUUGUUCUUGUGAAAAGUCAGACCAAGUGUAGCUUUGUUUGUUUUAUUCAUUGAUCUCGGGUA
rnacentral:lncRNA from 1 species